rnacentral:snRNA from 1 species
AUACUCACUUCAGCAGCACAUACACUAAAACUGGAACUAUACAGAGAAGAUUGCAUAUCAUCCUUGCACAGGGACCAUGCUAAACUCCUGCAAAGUCCCUUUUUUUC